UGGGGAAUUUUGCACAAUGGGCGCAAGCCUGAUGCAGCGACGCCGCGUGAGGGAUGAAGGCCUUCGGGUUGUAAACCUUUUUCGCUCAUGGUCAAGCCGCAGCUUUGGGUUGUGGUGAGGGUAGUGGGUAAAGAAGCCCCGGCUAACUACGUGCCAGCAGCCGCGGUAAUACGUAGGGGGCUAGCGUUGUCCGGAAUCACUGGGCGUAAAGGGUUCGCAGGCGGAAAUGCAAGUCAGGUGUAAAAGGCAGUAGCUUAACUACUGUAAGCAUUUGAAACUGCAUAUCUUGAGAAGAGUAGAGGUAAGUGGAAUUUUUAGUGUAGCGAUGAAAUGCGUAGAUAUUAAAAAGAAUACCGGUGGCGAAGGCGACUUACUGGGCUCAUUCUGACGCUGAGGAACGAAAGCGUGGGUAGCAAACAGG
rnacentral:rRNA from 1 species